rnacentral:rRNA from 1 species
UGCGGAGGGAUCAUUACUGAGUUACCGCUCAUCAACCCUUUGUGAACAUACCUUAACUGUUGCUUCGGCGGGUAGGCGUCCCCUAAAAAGGACGUCUCCCGGCCCUCUCCCGUCCGCGGGUGGGGCGCCCGCCGGAGGAUAACCAAACUCUGAUUUAACGACGUUUCUUCUGAGUGACACAAGCAAAUAAUCAAAACUUUUAACAACGGAUCUCUUGGUUCUGGCAUCGAUGAAGAACGCAGCGAAAUGCGAUAAGUAAUGUGAAUUGCAGAAUUCAGUGAAUCAUCGAAUCUUUGAACGCACAUUGCGCCCGCCAGCAUUCUGGCGGGCAUGCCUGUUCGAGCGUCAUUUCAACCCUCAAGCUCUGCUUGGUGUUGGGGCUCUACGGUUGACGUAGGCCCUUAAAGGUAGUGGCGGACCCUCUCGGAGCCUCCUUUGCGUAGUAACAUUUCGUCUCGCAUUGGGAUUCGGAGGGACUCUAGCCGUAAAACCCCCAAUUUUACUAAGGUUGACCUCGGAUCAGGUAGGAAUACCCGCUGAACUUAAGCAUAUCAAUA